CGCACACACACCAAAAAAAAAAUGUGUCAACAUGUGGCGCAGGACACACGAAGCCCGUCGUCGAAUCUGAACCACUGCGAACUGUUACAGAGAAGCGAUGUGGUGCCCUCAUCCGCUCCCCACCACAACUCGCAUGCACACCUCAAAACUCCCCCGUAACCUCAACUUGUAGUCAUCCCUCAGAAGUACUGCACGGCUGCCGCCUCAUGGCGGCAUCCACAGCGUCGUCUAGCCCCUUGACGCCCUUCCUCCGUCGGCACGACGCACGCAGCCGUCGCCGUGCAAGGUUCGUCGUGGCGGCGAGCACGGCGGACGCGGAGCCGUCCCCGGAGGCUACGGCGGCAGGGCCGGGGAAGAAGAAGACGGUGGACACGAGGAUACACUGGUCCGACCCGGACGAAGGGUGGGUGGGAGGGAAGGCGAAGAAGGAAGGCGACGGGCGCAAGGAGAAGCCGCUGGGACGAAGCUUCGCCGACCUCAUCAACAACCCGUCCGAGUCACACUACCAGUUCCUAGGAGUAGCGCCUGGCGCCGACUUGGAGGAGAUCAAGGCGGCGUACCGGCGGUUGUCCAAGGAGUACCACCCGGACACGACGAGGCUGCCGCUCAAGUCGGCGUCGGAGAAGUUCAUCCGGUUGCGGGAGGUGUACAAGGUGCUUAGCAAGGAGGAGAGCCGCCGCUUCUACGACUGGACGCUGGCGCAGGAGGCCGAGAGCCGUCGGCUGCAGCAGCUCAGGUCCCGCCUCGAGGACCCCUACGAGCUCGACCUCCAGAAUUACAAGCCCGUGCCGGACACGGUCGAUCGCCUUGGCGGGAAGAACAUGGAGCUCAGCGACCAGGCCAUGACCGCCCUCACGUUCGACAUCGGCAUCAUCAUCUUCAGCAUCUGCUGCAUCAUCUACGCCAUCUUCUUCAAGGAGCAAUAUUGAUAGAAGAGAAGAGAAGAUACUAGUACUGGACUAUAGACACAAACGGUAUAGUAUAUGCAAGGCAUUGGUUGUCAAAGUUGAGUGUUGAUUCCACACAUUCAAGGACAGCAAGUAAAAGAGAGACAAAAGAGGAAGCAAGUUGAACUUCUGAAGAACGUUACAUUAUUAUUCCUCAACCGCAACUAAAGAUCACCAAUAGCCAGAAAGAAGCAAGUUGCCGCUGUAUUUACGAUUUUCUCCAACAUGGGAUCAGAACAGAUUGUUUGGUAUGUGCAGUGUUUAACUUGCAA